CAACCCUCAGGCCCCCGGGCCUGGCGUUGGGGAUCGGCGGAGCCCUUCAGGGCACACGCCGUCCCCUAAAUCUAUUGGCGGUCUCGCUGCAGCCCACUGCGUAGUAUAUCACCUCGCAACUGGAAAGCGGCGCGGCCAUGCCGUAAAACACCCAACUUUUAUGA
rnacentral:misc_RNA from 1 species